UACAGAGGGUGCAAGCGUUGUUCGGAAUCAUUGGGCGUAAAGGGCGCGUAGGCGGUCAGCACAAGUCAGUUGUGAAAUCUCCGGGCUUAACUCGGAAAGGUCAACUGAUACUGUGCGACUAGAGUGCGGAAGGGGCAACUGGAAUUCUCGGUGUAGCGGUGAAAUGCGUAGAUAUCGAGAGGAACACCUGCGGCGAAGGCGAGUUGCUGGGCCGACACUGACGCUGAUGCGCGAAAGCCAGGGGAGCGAACGGG
rnacentral:rRNA from 1 species